rnacentral:rRNA from 1 species
UACAGAGGUCUCAAGCGUUGUUCGGAUUCAUUGGGCGUAAAGGGCGCGUAGGCUGCGGGGUAAGUCGGGUGUGAAAUCUCAGGGCUCAACCCUGAAACUGCACUCGAUACUGCUCUGCUUGAGGACUGGAGAGGAGACUGGAAUUCACGGUGUAGCAGUGAAAUGCGUAGAGAUCGGGAGGAACACCAGAGGCGAAGGCGGCGACCUGGACAGGUACUGACACUCAACUACGAAAGCGUGGGGAGCAAACAGG